GUGCUCACUUUGGCAGCAUAUAUACUAACAUUGGAAUGAUACAGAGAAGAUUAGCAUGGCCACUGGGAAAGGAUGAUACACAAAUCUGUGAAGUGUUGCAUAUUAAA